AAGACCUUGCGCUUUUGGAGCGGCCGAUGCCUGAUUAGCUUGUUGGUAAGGUAAAAGCUUACCGAGGCUUCGAUCAGUAGCUGGUCUGAGAGGACGACCAGCCACACUGGGACUGAGACACGGCCCAGACUCCUACGGGAGGCAGCAGUGGGGAAUUUUGGACAAUGGGGGCAACCCUGAUCCAGCCAUGCCGCGUGAGUGAAGAAGGCCUUCGGGUUGUAAAGCUCUUUCAGCCGGAACGAAACGGUUACGGUUAAUACCCGUGACUACUGACGGUACCGGAAGAAGAAGCACCGGCUAACUACGUGCCAGCAGCCGCGGUAAUACGUAGGGUGCGAGCGUUAAUCGGAAUUACUGGGCGUAAAGCGUGCGCAGGUGGUUUUGUAAGUCAGAUGUGAAAGCCCCGGGCUCAACCUGGGAACU
rnacentral:rRNA from 1 species